rnacentral:rRNA from 1 species
AUACGGAGGGUCCGAGCGUUAUCCGGAAUCGUUGGGUUUAAAGGGUCCGUAGGCGGGAAUCUAAGUCAGUGGUGAAAUCUUGCAGCUCAACUGUAAAAUUGCCAUUGAUACUGGAUUUCUUGAAUUAGUGUGAAGUGGUUAGAAUGUGUAGUGUAGCGGUGAAAUGCAUAGAUAUUACACAGAAUACCAAUUGCGAAGGCAGAUCACUAACACUAUAUUGACGCUGAGGGACGAAAGCGUGGGGAGCGAACAGGAUUAGAAACCCCAGUAGUCC